rnacentral:rRNA from 1 species
UAAUGUAUGGGAGUCUGCCCGAUAGAGGGGGAUAACUACUGGAAACGGUGGCUAAUACCGCAUAAUGUCUACGGACCAAAGCAGGGCUCUUCGGACCUUGCACUAUCGGAUGAACCCAUAUGGGAUUAGCUAGUAGGUGGGGUAAAGGCUCACCUAGGCGACGAUCUCUAGCUGGUCUGAGAGGAUGAUCAGCCACACUGGGACUGAGACACGGCCCAG